AUGCAGAUCCUUCAAGAUUUUGGUGACGCCACCGGCGUUCGCAUCAACCCAACCAAGUACAUAGUAGCACCGAUCCGCUGCAGCACCAUCGACCUGGAGAGCGUUCUUCAAUCUUUUGUGGGCCAGAUCUUUAGCUUCUCGAUUAGAUACCUAGGCAUGCCACUCACCCUUGGAAGGAUCAGGCUUGUGCAUCUGCAAUACCUCCUUGAUCAGAUCAGAUCCAGGCUGGCGGGAUGGAAGCUCCGGCUUAUGCCCAUCUCCGGCAGGCGGGUGCUUGUCAGGAGCAUGCUCUCCGCACUCCCGGCAUUCAUGAUCACCGUGCUACGCACUCCAAAGAGAUUCCUUAAAGACAAUGACAAAGUGCGACAACGUUUUCUCUGGGCCCAGGAUGAGCACCUCACAGGGGGGAAGUGCAAAGUCAACUAG
rnacentral:rRNA from 1 species